rnacentral:rRNA from 1 species
GAUUUCUGGUUUAAUGCACCUGGCCCGCGGCCACUAGGCUUGUGAGUGCCGGCGCGCGUUUACCAUCCUUCUAGAAAACGUUUCUGCCAUUCACUUGGUUGGGAUCGCGAUCUAGAUCUUUUACUUUGAAAAAAUUAGAGUGUUUAAAGCAAGCUUUUGCUAUGAAUACAUUAGCAUGGAAUAAUAAUCUAGGACUUCGGUUCUAUUUUGUUGGUUUCUAUAACUGAAGUAAUGAUUGAUAGGGAUAGUUGGGGGUGCUAGUAUUGGCCGGCCAGAGGUGAAAUUCUUGGAUUCGGUCAAGACUAACUUAUGCGAAAGCAUU